AUCCCUGGGCCUGGGCCUACCUAGGUGAAGACAGGCAUUUUUGUUUUCCUGCCCGGAUGUUGCAUUUCCCAAGACCACCCUGGCCUGCCAUGCCCUCAUCCUGUGCCUUUAAAAACCCCCGAGACCCUGGCAGGCAGACGCACAAGCAGCUGGACAUUGAGAGGAGCAUAUAGGCAGAGAAUACAGGGGCUGCUGGAUGUCGAAAGGAACGCACCAGCAUAGGAGCACACCGGCAUGCUGGCAGGCCAUUGACCAGCGGAAGAAUGCAGAGUUUGUCGCGGGAGGUCAGAGAAGAGUCAGGCCGCCAUACCUGACUCCAGGAGAAAACCGUCUCCCUUCUGGUUCCCCCGUCUGCCGAGAGCUACUUCCACUCAAUAAAACUUUCCACUCAUUCUUCAAGCCCACGUGUGAUCCAAUUCUUCCCGUACACCAAGGUCUCGCUGUGUUUCCCAGGCUGGGUGCAGUGGCUAUUCAAAGGUACAAUGAUAGCUCACUGCAGCCUGGAACUCCUGGACUCAAGCGAUCCUCCUGCCUCAGCUGCGACUAACAGAAUUGGAAAAAUGAAUGUAAUUUGACAUAUGUCUUGAGUCUGGUUGGCUUCUGAGGAACUUGUGUGCAUCUCAUCAGUAUGCAUCUUAAGAACUGAAAUGACCCUACUUCAGCAUUGUGAGAAGACAUGCAUUCUCUUCGUAUAAAUAAUGUGGAUCUUACAUGUAAAGUAUUAUAAAGAUUAGCUGUUUAACAACUUAAAUAAGCUUGUGAAUAAUAAAUUAAUAACAAUGUUAUGCUAAUACGUAACUAUGAUAUUUGCUGAACAAAAUAAAUUUGCCUACUUUGGAAGCAGAUUGGGUGGUUUAAUAUAUCAGCAAAAGAGUGUUUUUAAAAAAUAUCAAAGUUCUGUUAAUCAAAACGUUUAUUGUAGGACAGUUAGUAAUGUUUUGUUUGCCAACUUAUAUUACAAAGUCUCUGUCUUAAGUGUUUCCUUGCAAAUAAAAUGACAAUACUGCCUUACAUUUUAUUACUUUAGAGUUUGCAAAAUAUCUUCAUUAUAAUAUUUCAUUUAGUAGACAUGCCUAUGGGAACAUUACUUCCAGAAUUAAAAACAUUAUUUUUGUUUUGGUAUAUUUUUAAACUACAAAUGAUAGAAAGGCAAGUAAAUGUAAGUUUUUCUCUAGUUAUUUGUUCAAAUGCUAAUUUAAAACAUUUGUACAUUUCUAAUACAAACAUUCCUUAUUUGAGAAAAAAUGGAUUUCUUAAAAACAAAAUGCAUUUUAAAGCAGAGAGACAGGGCAUUGAGCUGAAAAUGGUGGCUGGAAGUUGGGAUCUGUAAGAGAAGUUGAAUGUGCCCCGAGGCAUAAAGCUGCUAAUUUUGUUUUAUUGGAUUUUACUGUAGCUAUUAAUAUAUUUUGCUGGAGAUUUAUGUGAUCAAUUUAUCUUAUGGCCAGAACUAAUUCCCUUAGUAUAUUUUAUUAGAAUAUGUGACUUUUUCUAAAUUUAGCUUUAUUUUUCAUAUUUUCCAUAAAUGGCAAAGAUUCUAUGUUUCCAGACAUGUUAAGUAUUGCAAGAAUUAUUGGAGCACCUAAAGAUAAAUAAUAUCAAAAUAGUGUCAUUGUUUCCCUUAGUUUCUCCUUCUCCCCCACAAAUAAACCAAGAGGUAUUUAGUUAUACUAUUGCAUGUCUCUAGCUUUAUUGGAUUCUUCCAUGAAAGAAAAAUGGAUUACAUUUUUGGUUGUGUGGCCCUCGUUGCCCUAUUGCACUUUUGAUAAUAUUUGCCUGUGACAAGUAGUUAUUUUUCAUUACCACAUUCAAUCAUGGGUAAUAAAAUAUUUUAAUAAUGGUGAAUGUGAAGUUAAUUAAUAACCCGCAGGUAUGGCAGCUAGACAGGAUUGCUCUCCAUCUCAAACACAAGGAAAACAAUUCCAUCGGUAGUUAUAAAUUUGCAUAUGAAUGUCAAAUAUAUGAGGUUUUGAAUAAAAAUCAUUUCUGAGUAAAAGUGUACAUCGGCAAGCUGUAUUUAAGUUCCGUAUUUAUAGAUAAAUUAUUUCAGAAUAUGUUAGUUACUAUGAAUCAUAAUCAGAGUUCUUCAGUUAGGGAACUCUUGUAGUGCGUCAGUAGGUAUCAAUAUUGAAAUAUUUGAUAUUAUUUAACAUGUUUUGCAACUUAGUUGAGUGUAUAUAUGGUUUUACAUAUAUUUAAGACAUAUAGAUUAGUGAAAUUUAUUUUGGAAUGAGUUGUUGCUUUAUGUAUUAUAAAUACAGAAAUAUUAUGCAAAGUAAUUUUAGGUUUAUUGGCAUG
rnacentral:lncRNA from 1 species